rnacentral:rRNA from 1 species
CUCAGUUCGGAUCGCAGGCUGCAACCCGCCUGCGUGAAGUCGGAAUCGCUAGUAAUCGCGGAUCAGCAUGCCGCGGUGAAUACGUUCCCGGGCCUUGUACACACCGCCCGUCACACCAUGAGAGUCGGGAACACCCGAAGCCCGUAGCCUAACUUGCAAGAGAGGGCGCGGUCGAAGGUGGGUUCGAUAAUUGGGGUGAAGUCGUAACAAGGUAAC